rnacentral:rRNA from 1 species
GCUCAGAAACUCAAAGGAAUUGACGGGGCCCGCACAAGCAGCGGAGCGUGUGGUUUAAUUCGAUGCUACACGAAGAACCUUACCCGGGUUUGACAUGCAAGUGGUAGUGAUCCGAAAGGUGAACGACCCGCAAGGGAGCUUGCACAGGUGUUGCAUGGCUGUCGUCAGCUCGUGUCAUGAGAUGUUCGGUUAAGUCCGCUAACGAGCGCAACCCUCGCUGUAUGUUACAUGUGUCAUACAGGACCGCCGGUAUCAAGCCGGAGGAAGGUGGGGAUGACGUCAAGUCCGCAUGGCCUUUAUGUCCGGGGCUACACACACGCUACAAUGGUCGGUACAAUGGGUUGCUAAGCCGCGAGGUGGAGCCAAUCCCCCAAAGCCGGCCUCAGUUCAGAUUGCAGGCUGCAACUCGCCUGCAUGAAGCUGGAGUUGCUAGUAAACGCGCGUCAGCUAUAGUGCGUUGAAUACGUUCUCGGGCCUU